rnacentral:rRNA from 1 species
GACGAACGCUGGCGGCGUGCUUAACACAUGCAAGUCGAACGGAAAGGCCCUGCUUUUGUGGGGUGCUCGAGUGGCGAACGGGUGAGUAACAAGUGAGUAACCUGCCCUUGACUUUGGGAUAACUUCAGGAAACUGGGGCUAAUACCGGAUAGGAGCUCCUGCUGCAUGGUGGGGGUUGGAAAGUUUCGGCGGUUGGGGAUGGACUCGCGGCUUAUCAGCUUGUUGGUGGGGUAGUGGCUUACCAAGGCUUUGACGGGUAGCCGGCCUGAGAGGGUGUCCGGCCACAUUGGGACUGAGAUACGGCACAGACGCCUACGGGAGGCAGCAGUGGGGAAUAUUGCACAAUGGGCGGAAGCCGGAUGCAGCAACGCCGCGUGCGGGAUGACGGCCUUCGGGUUGUAAUCCGCUUUCGCCUGUGACGAAGCGUGAGUGACGGUAAUGGGUAAAGAAGCACCGGCUAACUACGUG